rnacentral:rRNA from 1 species
AUGGAUCGGCGGCAGCGGCAUCCGCCUACCAGUACCAGCGAUGGUGCUCCUCUACACCCAAGCCUCCUCCUCAACCUCCAGGUCGACACGGCCUCGGACGGCGACGGCAACGACACCACCGCCUCCUGCAGGACCAGCGGCGGCGCGCACGACGUCCAGGUCACCCUGUUCGCCGCCAACCCGCCCGGGGUCUCUCGCCUCCAGGUCGUCCGCUCCGCCGGCGCCUCCGCUCCCUACAUCGUCACCACGGAGGCCGACCUCGUCCUCCUCGGCGUCCCUGCCAGCGCCGAUUCGGCGCGCACCAGGUCCGGGUAUGAUUAUUUCGUAUACAAAUUGGGGGCAGGUGAGAAGGGGGCGUCAUCGCUGGAGCUGCUGCCGGGCCCUGUCCCCUCCUCCCUCUCGCUCGACGACUCGCACGUCGGCAUCCUGCGCCGCCGCGACUCCUACUUGAUCGUGGCGCUCUGCUACACAUCCUCACCUGGCAAGUACGACCUGCAUCUCUACGACUCCAAGAGCGGAGGAUGGACCACAAAGCAGGCCUCGCUCGACCAGCAACAGCAUAUGGAUCACUGCCAUGUCAACCGCAAGGUAAUCACCGUCGAGGGCGACGCUGGCACCAUGGCCUGGGUUGACCUCUGGCACGGUAUCCUCUUCUGCGACGUCCUCCAUGAGGAACCACGGCUUCAACACAUCCCGUUGCCACCGCCACUACUGCCAACAAGGGAGCUGGGAGGCUGCCCCAGGAACGCUCGCGACAUCGCGGUCAUUAAUGGUCGCAUCUACUACGUCGAGCUGCAGAUCAGAACCAUGCCAGGUUCGUCCAGCAGGGGCAGCUACAUCUCUGAUGGCUGGACCGUUGCCAUAUGGAGCACCAGUGCUACUGGUCCUUGGCAUGGGGACUGUUGGCACCAGGACUACAAACUCGACGCCUCUGAGAUCACUGUCGGAGAAAAACUGGUGCACUUUGAAGGCGUAGCCGAGCCAACCUUGGUGAGGCUCCAAACAGGCCAUCCCACACUCUGCCUGCACGACAGUCGAGUUGUUUACCUCAUGGCAAAAGUUGACUACCAGGACGAAAAGGCAUGGGUGCUUGCAGUUGACAUGAGGAACAAGACGCUGCAAGCAGUUGCCAAGUUCACCGCCGAUAGAGUCCCAGGCUUCUGCUUUACAUAUACACACACCAGGGUCUCUGAAUAUCUGAAGAUGCAGAUAUAA